UUCAACUGUAUGAAUUCAGAACUUUUCAGCUGGGGAACGAGCCUUCAAUAGGCCUGUUGCCUACUUGUGAGGGGUAGGGGAAGAGCCUCAAUGGAGGACAUCUCUGCGGAGACUGGCCUGCAGUGACGACUGCCUAAAGUCUGUGCCCAGCAAGCACUGAGAGAAAAAGAACUCCGGGCCGAAGUCUCCAGGAAAGAGGCGUCAGGGAGCCCCGAGGGUGAGUGAGAUGGUCUAUCUGACAACCAUAGGCACAAGAACAACAGGUUAAUUGAUCCUGGAUUGGAAUCUCCCAAGUUACGACCCCCAGAUAACUGCUUUUCUUGUGGAUGAAGAUUUCCAUUGGGCCGCUCGAGACCUGACUAGAUUAAACGUUUAAAGGUAUACAAGAACAAGAGACUUCUACAAUCUACUUUUAAAGAAGUCAACACUUGCCACGCUGUUCUGGGCCUCCCUGCUUCCUUCGCAACUGUGCCCAUGGCGAUGGCACCUUAUCCAAUCCUUUGACUCACUACAUCCUUUCCAGUUUCUCCCUUGGAAAGGUAAGAGCUAUGUUUCCACCUCUCGAAGGCAGAUAGGUUUGUGGCUCUGGAAGAAGGGAUGCUACGUGAUUUCCAAGGCUAGAUCUUGAAGGGGCUGCUUCUACCCAGCUGUGUCCAAGGAUCUGACUCUCGAAACACAGCAGCAGUUCUGUGAGCAAGAACAAACUGGGUCAUGCGGAGGCAUCACGUGGAGAAGCCACAUGGAGUUUCUGGAUUCCAGCCCAGGGGAAGCUCUAGCCAAGGGCCAGCAAUAAUAGCCAGGUACGCAGGGGAAAGUACACCCAUCAAGCUUAGACUUGACAUCUUGCUGAGGUCCCAAGCAUCACGGGACUGAAACGAGCCAUCUCUGUUUUGCCCUAUCUGAAUUCCUGGUCCACGAGAAAAAUACGGUGAUUAUUGAUCUUUGUAAGCUACAGAGUGUUGGGAUGGUUUGUGAUGUAGCAACAGAAAAAUUCACACAGUAAUUAAAAACACAUUAACCGGGAAAGCAGAAAUGAAGACUAAUUACAAAAUGUGUCAUCUACGCUCUUCCGAUUAGUGAGCACUUUCCCCACUCUAGAGACUUAGCUCACAGGUGGAAGCAAAGCCAUGGUCACACGAGUCCCCAAUCACUGAGCUGAAAUUGAAGCCUCUUUCCUAAAUCAUAUUUUUGUGUGAAGUUUAAUCUCAGCUAUUAAGGGAAUUAUAUGACCCCUGCUUGGUUUACUGUGUGAAUUCAAGAAAGAACAAAAUUAAACCAUCUCUCACAUACUUCUCUAGCUGAUUAACAUAACACAAUUCUAGCAAACGACAGACCCCCCUGCUGGAAAAUGUUCCCUCCUAUUCCAAUGUAUGGAGUCUGAGAUCGUUUGGAGGCAAUGAGCAGAACUCAGUCAAGCUGACUUGAGCAAAAUGAAAAUUGGUUAGAAACAGGGGGAUUUGGUACGUCUCAAAGGGAGGAAGCAAGGCACGUGGAAUGACGCCAGACACUGCCAACAGACAGGAGCUAAGCAGCGGCUGUCUCUGUGACUCUCUGGGGAGAGGAUUCUAUUAGACCAAUGUGGAUCAAUUGUCUGUGGUCCAGUCGGCUGUGGCACAAGAUAGAUCUAUCUUCUCCAAUUAUCUCUGCAGUUGCGAGAUCUGUACAGCGGGUAGGCAUGUGCUCUCGUUCAUCCCCUUCUGUGUUUGCCAAGAGCCUCCCGAGAUGGUUCCUAAUACACCAAGUUCAUCAAUAAAACAAGCUCUUUUUGAAGAUAUUCCUUAAACCCAAGAAAAGAGACAAUCUAUUAAACAACAACAACUUUACAGUACAAAGACGGAAAAUGUACUCAUUUUUUAGGGCCGCCAUAACCAAUCGUUGCAGACAGAGUGGCUUAGAUAACAGAAUGAGUUUUCCCACUGGGCUGGCAGUCUGAGGGCCGGUUGUCAGCAGGGCUGGUUUCUUUUCCUUGGCUGGCAGACAGGCCACCUCCUUGCUCUGUCCUCACACGCACCCCUGGAGCCUUCCUGUGUGUUCCUUCCCUGUUCUCACAAAGACAGCAGUCACCUCGGAUUAGGCUCCAUUCUGAUUUCAUCCAUUUUCAUUUAGUUGUGUCUUCAAGAACCCUGUCUGCAGAUAUGGUGACAUUCUGAGAUAUAGGCACGUGUAAGAAUUUACAGGGAGAUACAAUGCAGACUGACAAUCCUGAAAAAGCAAGAUACAGGCAUGACCUACAACUCCAGGCAAGACAGUAGGAAGCGCUUCAGCACAAACUGCACACAUCUAUGAUAUGUAUCUUACCCAAAACAAAGAGGCACAAGUGACAUAAGUCUGUGCCUUUACGCCCAGGCAACCCUGAGGGAAUGGGCCACAAGGGGAGGAGAUGGCUUCCCCGGCUAAGUCAAGGUCAUCUGAACAGCGGCUGCAGAGCAGCAGAGAAUGGUGGAGAAGGGUAAGAAGGGGUGGGGGGAGAUUGGGGGGGAUAGGAGUGAUAGGGAGGUAGGGGAGCUGUGGGGAGGGGGACAAAGAGAGAUGGAGAGAGGUGGGGAGUUGUGAGGGUACCCGUGGAAUCAAGCAGACAGCUUUUCUAGGAGCCAUGUUGGUUUUCUUCCAGCUGAUGGUUUUUCCUGGCUAUUUAGGAAAUGAGCAAGCAAAUCCAGAGCCUUCGGACUCCCAUCCCUUUCCCCUGCCCCAAGGCCCAACAAACAGACAGAUAUGACAGAGAUGACCAAGAUAGAAAACACGCCUCCUUAGUGAGACACUCACCCUUUCCAGAUUUCCAGAGACAUAUGAAAGCAAAUUUUUCUCAACCCACCUAUCCUGUUCCGUACACACUGAUCCGGACCCUGUAGCCGGGAAAUUCCUCAUCUCCCUGUGGGGAGAGUGGGUGUGCUUUAUGGCAGGCCCCGGAAUGUCUGUAACUUUCCACCUGUGAGGUUCCCUGACAGCUACAAGCCUAAACAGGAGUGACACUGAGAAACGAGAGGCACCAGCACAGCUUCUAGUGAGGAAUCAGGGUCACCCAGAGGCACCCAUCAUGGCAAGACCCAGAAGUUUUGAGUGUCUAAUACACAGCAGGCCUUUAGGCAGACACAGAUCAUUACCAUCAUCUUACUGAUGAGGACGCCACGGUCAGCAAGGUUCAGCCACUUGCUUGAUCAGGGGGAAACCCUGAUCAAGAGCUAGAGAGGCAGAGUUGGAGUCUGAACCAAAACUGAGCCAGGUCCUCCCUUCCCAGUCUGGUGCUGCCUGCCUGUGGACCUUAGGCCACUGGUGCUGCAAUCUGCAACGGCCUGAUGGUCUUCAGCUUCUGCCAAGUGCAGCCUCACGUGACCACUCGAAGCCCUGCUCAGGACUUAGUACACUGACGCCUCUCAACAAAGGAGAAUGGAACUCAAGUAUCAUGAGGUCAUGACACAAGCUGUACCAGGUCACUGGGGCGAAUGCCGUCACCCUGAUUCUGGAGGUCCCUUGGGAAGCACUCACUGAGCCAGCAGUGGGUGGCUGCCAUGUGAGCUCAGCUUCAGUCCUGCAGGGGACAAAGGAUGAAAACAGAUUUCCUGACACUAAAGGAGUAGCCAUUGGUAACCAACACUUCUGUCCCCCUCCUUAAGUCGGGGUCUUUACAAUAGCUUCUGUUCUGAAAUGGCAACUUAAUCAAGAGGAGAGAGACAGAGACAGAGAUAGAGAUUCCCCUCAGUGUCCUUAUGAACAGAUCAUGACCCUAUCACAUGCUCCGCCUCCCAAGCUGCCAAUCAGAACCAAUAUCGACACCACCACCCCCAACACACACACACUUCCCUAGGGAGGGAGAGAAGGGAGGUGGGGGUGGGGCAGAAAGGAGCUCUGGGCCCAGGGGAAGAAUGUUCCACGAUCACACCAGAUCACUCAAACCGAAACAAAGCCAUCUUGCCUUCUGCUGUCAAAGCAGAGAGCACCAACAUUUCAGUUUCGUCCCUAAAGCUGUACACACCUUUUGGUAUGUAUCCCAGGUUCUCUGGGAAAGAAGGUUUUAGGAAAACAAUGUAUUUUCUCUUUUGGAAUCUGGGCUUUUCCGCUAGGGGAGAAGAAGCUGAUGAAAAAAAUCAGUCUAGACAGCAAUUUCUACUUAACACACAGACCUUCCUUGGCAUCCGCCAAUCAAAAGGUGAGAGCAACCGCGAAGCUAGGGGAAACGCUGCCUCACCCCUGAGGCCUCCUAAAGAGCCAAGUAUUUGUUUUUCCUUCUUAAUCUGAACUGGCUUCUUCCACAAAGCCCUUUCUAAACAGCCAUUGAUUUCUCCAGCUCGAACAGCCCAUUAAUAACGCCAAGUACUCAGGAGUCCCUGUAAUGCCUCCAGCUUUGUUUGGGUUGGACUUGCUCCCUGGGGUCCUCUGGGGGAAUCUGCCUUCCUCAGAGCUCAAACCGGUUCCCAGGGAGAUUGGAAUCACAGCCGCACCCCAGCCUGGGUCAAUGUGGGCAAAGGAGCUUGCUGGAAACCAGCCUGUCCGUGUUUGCUCCAAGCACCUCCACCCAUGGCCAAUCUGCUCUGUGCCCAGGCGCCUGCCCUCAGUUCAGCAGGGGCAGACACCUGCCAGAGAACAAAGUGGUGAUGAAGAGAGCUGUUAAUGAGACACAUUGCUACCCGCACAUUCUCUGGGCAGAUCCAGAUACUCUUUGGCUUCUCUCAAGGCCUCUUGUUCCAGCUCCGGAUUUCACUGUGGUGAUGCCCUGUGCAUGGGUUCCAACAUACUGGCCCCUGGUGUAAUGUGACAGUGUCUCACACCAGCCACCAUGAGUCACUGCCUUCUCUGAUGACCCUGAUACCUCUUCGGCCUGGCCGGUGCUCAUUCAUAUGUGGCCUGUGAAACUGUAGAUCAGUGUGUCCACCAGAAGAUGAGAGUUGGAGCAGCGUGCUUCUGCUCCUUCAGACUGAGCAGCCAUGUUGAGUGUGAUGCUCCGAUUUUGCCUAACACUCCUCACCUGACCGGUGGCAGAAAGCGUGUCCUUCCACUGACUGCCUCUCCUCCACCUGGGAAAGCAGGUGCUUCAUCCCAGAAUACACCUGCUCCUCCGAAGGAGGGUGCCUGAAUUAUAAAUGAGCCUCCGACAGAUAGAGAUGCGCUCAAUACAAGAGAAAGGGGGAACAGGUAAACACGCCACCAGUCUGUUGCCCUGAGCAUCCUCGAACGCUGCAAAGUUUGCUUCCCCCCGGACCCUAGACUGAAGCCCAAGCCUACUUUAAGAUGAUUUGAAGGUGUGCAUAUCUCCACCUGUCCCCCCUCUGCCUCUCUCUUUUGUCAGCUAUGCCCUGCUUCUCUCUUUCCACAGUCCAAAGGCUCUGCCUUCUUCAGCUCGGGACACAGGGAUGUUUCUCGAAGCCCCCCACCUCCGCCCACAUCACCCCCCCUGCCUCUGAUCUCCCAGUCCUCAGUCUUUUCCCUUAACUUUGGGAGCUCAGGGUGAAAGCAUCCUGCAAGUGGACUACAGCGGAUUCCCUUCUGAAGAUCAGAUGAAAGGUCAUUCAUGGUCAUUGAUCAGGAAGAGUGAGGGAAGGCAAGAAGAAAGGUACUGUGGGUUUAUGGACUCCUCCAUAGUUCUCACUGCAACAGUAUGGAGAGGUGGAGAAGUCAUGAAGAUGUGGAUUAGUGCCGCUGAAGAAGGGGUGGGUGCCUGAUGAAUGCAGUCUCCUAGUCCAUCCGUGUACCUCACCCCAUCCCAUGAGAUAAGGCAGUGUGAAGCACUAGACGUGGCCUCUCAAUCUACUGACUUCCAGCCUGCAGAACCAGGAGCCAGAUCAGCUUCCAUUCUGUGUGCGUUGCCCGGCUGGUGCUAUUUGAUUAUAGCAGCACAAAGUAGGCUAACACAGAAGAGAAAGGACAGAGAAGAUGGACUGCCAAGUGUCUGCUGAGCCUGGGACACAGCAGGAUUGGCAGCCAAUUCUGCUCUCUCCUUAGUGGGCACUGCCAACGCCACAAGUGACCGUCUCCGAGGAGAGGCUCGGACACUGCUGCCAGGGGGGCAUUGGUGGAGUAUGUUCUCUCUGAGAUUUCCCUUCACCUCUGUCCAAAGCUCAUCACUGGCUCCAGGGUCCUCCUUCAGUAAAGAGUGGCAUGGGGACACACUCAUGCAAGGAUGACUGGGUCCCUGGUCAGGAGCCUAUGCUAAGAAGUUUCCCAAACCAUGUUUUCUUUUUUUUUUUAAGAUUUAUUUAUUAUUUAUUAUAUGUAAGUACACUGUAGCUGUCUUCAGACACUCCAGAAGAGGGAGUCAGAUCUCAUUAUGGAUGGUUGUGAGCCACCAUGUGGUUGCUGGGAUUUGAACUCCGGACCUUCAGAAGAGCAGUCGGGUGCUCUUACCUGCUGAGCCAUCUCACCAGCCCCAAACCAUGUUUUCUUUCUGUAUCUUUGGCCUAACUCACAAAAUCCUGACCCUUUAUUGUCCACUGUGAGUACAAUCUCCCUUCCUUCAGGUAAGGGCCAAAACCUACACUCUCAAGUCUUCUGAGGCCAUAGUCCAAGCCAACUAGAAUUAUUGCAGUACACAUUUAGGCAAUGGCAUACAUGGACCCUUAGCACUGUGCACCCAGUUAGGGAAGGAGGCCAUUUCCUUACCCAAAGACCUCGGGAACCUUACACCCUGCUCUGAGCCAGAGCCCUCUCCUGCACACGUAGCUGAGGAGUUUGGGGCUCUGAGUACCUUGCUGAGCCCCACUUGGUGCCUGCACACAUCCUGCAGAGCUGAAUAAAGCAGAAGGUGUCUGCUUACAUUUAAAUUCAGGUAAGCAAUGAAGUCGGUAUGAUUAUAUCCCCAUGCUGUACUUGGAAGAUACUCACUAAAAAUAUUCACUGUUUAUCUAAAAUUCAGAUUUAACCGAAUGUCCUAUAUUUAUAUUUGCCAAAUCUGACAAUUCUCCCAGCACCCCCUGUUUCAGUUAUUUUAGGGAAUCCAAUUACAGCCCCUGUCAGGACCACUGAGGCCCAAGAGAAGUUGCUUGAGCUUUGAGAGUUCUGGGAAUUUAAGCAUCAUCAUUUCUUCCCUCAAAUGCCUUUGAAACUAGGAAAAGAUUUGUUUUCGUUUUGAAAUUUGUGACAAUCUAAAUGUAUCCCCAUGGCUGAGUGUGAACUUGUGAUCCUCCUGCCUCAGCCUCCUGAGUGCUAGAUCCAUGCUUAGAGACAUGAUUUUCAAAAAUUGCUUUUAGGUGGGCUCUAAGGUCAAUGUCAGUUCAAGGCCAGCUUGGUCUACACAUAGAGAGUUCCAACCACAUAUUGAAAUCCUGUUUCAAAAAUUAUACACACACACACACAAACACAUAUACACAUUUGUAUUGUAUAUGCUGUAUGGAAAGGCACAGUCAUGUGUAUUUUCUCUAUUUAAGAUGAUUCCCCCAAGCACCUGAAUAGAAAAGGGGGCAGUCACUACCUGGUUUGUUGAGGGAUCUGAGGCCAGUGAGACAAAGACUUGCUCACAGCCUGGGAAAUAGUUCUGGUAGACCCUGAACAAGUCCCAGGUCUUAGGCUCCCUGUACAGUGCUCCUUCCUACUCAUGAUGUGUGACCCUUCUCAGGCUGCUAGGCUACAGGUUAAUUAGGCAGCAAAAGACUCUUGGGGGACCCUGAAAGUGAGAGGACACGCCCUGGGACACCUAGUGGAGGACAGGCAAGCCAGAAUGGCAAAUUUUAAUUGAUCUCUGAUCAGUGCCAACAACUGCCAGCUCCCAGGGCAUGCAGCUGCUAUUUCUGAGUCAGCAGUGAAGAGCGAGGCUUGCCUGCCACAAUGCAGGCGGGUUUUUUUUUCCUCAAGCUCUUUGUACAGGGGAGUGAGACCAUGCAAAACAAAAGGUUUCUCCUUUAAUUGGCUGAGCAGCUGGGAGCCUAGAGCCCUUGGGAUGCUGUCCAAGGUCACCUACAGCCUCCCCCAAGCCUUCCACCCAGUUUAUCCUGGAAGCCCCAAGAGCCCCUGCCCUGCUGAGGAAGCUGGAUUUUUGUGGAGGGUGUCACAGGAAGCUUUUGAAGCUCCGUGCACUUUGUGAAGGACUUGACAAUGCCAGUGUUGCUUAGCAAGUCUCUAAGUAUUAGCGGUUAUUCAAGUGACCAGGGCACAAGCAUAGUGCAAUCCUGGAGAAAGAGGAGGCUUCUAAUAGGAAGAAAGAAACUCUCACUGCAAGCUUUCAUAUUUGGAAAGUCCCUUCCACAGACAGGGUGAAGGAUGCUCAACUUGAGGGCUGUCUUGCCAUUCCAAUCACAGAUGGGUUGCUGGCUUCUUCAUAAAGAUGUUUCAGACGUAACAAAACUAUCAGUUACCCUCCCCUCGACCCCUUCCCUUAACACAGCCUCCCCAAGCCUUCCUGAUUUCAAUUAAUGUCUUUACGGUCUACUCCAAAAUAAGUGGUUUUGGCUCGAGUCAUCUACUCUCAUCCUUCUAUCUGCACACCCAGCCCCCCAGCAGAAUCCUGCUGUCGGUCACACAACAUCUGCAUCCUAGUUCUCUUCUUCAAACCACCAGCACUUUUAGAACCACUUAGGUAGGUCUGUCUACAACUAUCGGGAAAGAGCUGUCAGUCUGUCAAUCCUGUCUGUGUCUGGGCCAGGUGAGGGUUCCUGUGACCUUUUCUCUAAUGGCCCUUCCUUCACAAUCUGGAGAGCCCCUCCCCUCCCACCAUCGUAAGCUAUUUUCCUAGUAAAAACCAAUGCUAACCCCAUUUAAUUCCUUCAGGACACUUAGCCAGAGUCUACAUCUUCUUCUUUAUUUGGGACUGUCCUGUCUCCACAGAAUAUGUGAGUUCUGUGAGGGCAGGGUGAUGUGUUAAUUAAUAUCAAAUAAUAUUAAUCUAUAUAUUUUGAGUGGAUAAACCAAACAGCAGACCAGGCCAAGGUGGUUCCACGUGGGAGAGGUUUAUUGUGCAGAGAUAGAGGGGUGGCGAAGCAGGUAGAAGGACAGAGAAGAGGAAAAGAGAGAAAGAGGGGGGAGGAGAAAGAGGGGGGAGAAAAAAGAGAGAGAGAGAAAGCGAGGAGGGGGUGAUCCCCUAAUUUAUACAGAAAAUUACGUCACACCAAUGAGGAUGGGAACUGAGCCAAGUGGGUUGUGGGAUUGAGGGUCAUUGUCCUGGCAACACAGGUCAAGGGUUACAUCGUUAGUCUGGAGCUUGCAGUAUCCUGGUACUAACCCAGGGUACAUCUCCUCUGUGUGUUUCUUGGGGCUCUUGUAACGAAGUACCUGAAAACUGGGUGGCUCCAGACAACAAAUAUAUAUUCUCUUAUAGUUUUUGAGGUUCAAAGUCAGAAAUCAGAGUGUCCAGAGUGAUGGCAGAGCCCUGAUGUCUUGGAAGCCUCUAGGGAAAAUCUGUCUCUCAGAGUAGCCAGAGGCCUUGCUUCUUCACAUGGCAGUCU